AUAAAUAAAACAUUAAAAAAAAAAAGAAGAAAGUGUGGGUACAGGACCCAAGACAAGAAGCCGACAAGCCGCCACUACCUGAGGUGUAAAGAAUGGAGGAAGAGGCAGUCUUUAUGCACUGGCUUCUGCCAUGCAUGGGGCUGAGCCCCUCACCUUUAUUAUCUCACUGAAGCCUUUAAAGAACCCCACGAAGUGGAGAAGACCAUCCCCAGGGAGACGAGGAAACAGCUUCAGAGAAGUUAUUUGCCCACGUUCACAUGACUGUGAUGUGCUGAGGGUGGGACUACAGUGUGUAGGAGUCCAGGUGCAGGAGCAGGCUACUGCGAAAUUAGUGACUGCCAUACAGUGUAGAGGCCUAAUGGGCUCGAGACUGUGAACAAACCCAGAGGGAAGAACACUGCAGAAGGUGAAAGACAAUUCCACUUUCUACUCUGUUUUUGAAAAGAAAGUCCUGGAAACUAAUUAAGUGUCUAA